rnacentral:lncRNA from 1 species
GUAAAAUGUAAUCAGAAAAAAAAAACUUCUUUCCUUAGGACAAAUGGUAUCUCCUGAGUGCAGAAAUUAUUCUUCUCCACUAUCUAAGCCACAUAUUGCAAUAAACCUUGUGUAUCAUAAUUCUGCCCAUCACCUGCAAUGAGACUCCCAGGUUGAAGAAUUGCUGUGCACAUAAACUAAAGAAAAUGUACUAUGGGUGUUUCUCCUGUAAAAUUAGCAGUGGGAGCUGGAGAGGUGGCUCAGCAGGACUCCAAUUCAAUCUCAUCAGUUCUCUUCUGGCUACUGUGUGUAGUCGGUGCACAUUCAUAUGCUCAAACAAAACACCAGUACACAUAAAAAUAAAGAAAGAAAUUAACAACACUUCCAAUGACUGCCUUGACCCAGCACUGCAAAAGGUUAAAUAGAAGAAAACAAAGAGAGGCUUUUCCUUGGAGUACUACACCUGUCCACUGUGGUCAUCAUUCAGGUUCCUGAAGUAUUAAUGGUAGCAACGAAAACUUAGUACUUGAUUCAAGAUACAUCCAAAAAGCCUCAUAUAAAUUAAUCAAGAGGAUCCAUGAUUUUAAAAGACAGGGUUUCUCCAUGCAGCCCUUGCUGUUUUGGAACUCACUCUGUAGACCAGGCUGGCCUCAAAUGCGUGUAGAUAUGCCUGCCUCUGCCUCCCG